rnacentral:rRNA from 1 species
CAGUAGGCCGCGGUAAUACGUAGGGCGCAAGCGUUAUCCGGAAUUAUUGGGCGUAAAGAGCUCGUAGGCGGUUUGUCGCGUCUGCCGUGAAAGUCCGGGGCUCAACCCCGGAUCUGCGGUGGGUACGGGCAGACUAGAGUGAUGUAGGGGAGACUGGAAUUCCUGGUGUAGCGGUGAAAUGCGCAGAUAUCAGGGGGAACACCGAUGGCGAAGGCAGGUCUCUGGGCAUUAACUGACGCUGAGGGGCGAAAGCAUGGGGAGCGAACAGGAUUAGAGACCCCCGUAGUCCCUGUCUCUUAUU